rnacentral:lncRNA from 1 species
UUUUUUUUUGAAAUUUACUCAGUUGGUUCAGCACCAUUUUUGAGGCAACUCUCUUUGUUCAUUGUAUUGCCUUUGCUACUUUGUCAAAGAUCAGUUGACUAUAUUUAUGAGGGUCUAUUUCUGGGCUCUCUAUUCUGUUCCAUUGAUCUAUGUUUAUUCUUUUGCUAAUACCACACUGCUCUGAUUACUCUGGUUAUAUAGUAAGUCUGGCUUCACAGAGCAAGUUAAGAACUAUUUCCUUUCCUUUUAUCCUCUGAGUUUGGAGAGAAUUGAUAUAAUUUCUCUCUUAAAUUUAGCAGUCAACCCAGUUGAGCUUGGUGCUUGCUGUUUUGGAAGGUUAUGAAUUAUUGAUUCCAUUUCUUUGAUACAGGUGUACCCAAAUCUAUUUCCUUGUGUGUAUCUUGACAUGUUGUGUCUUUAAAGGAAUUGGUUCAUUUAGAUUAUCAAAUUUGUGGGCCUAGAGAUGCUCCUGGAAUCCUUUCAAUUUCCAUGGAAUCUGUAGUGAUGUUCUCUCUGACAUUAUUAAUUUCUAUCUUUUUUUCUUAGUUAACCUUAGCUGAGACUUACUGAUUUUAUCGACCUUUUUAAAGAACUGACUUUUAGUUUUGUUGAUUUUUUUCUAUUGAUUUCCCAGUUUCAAAAUCAUUGGUUUCUUUUUUUUUUUUCUUUUUUUGGUUUCUGUUCUAUUAUUAUAUCUUAUUUUUCUUUUGCUCACUUUGGACUUAAUUUCCUCUUCUUUUUCUAGUUUCCUGGAAACUUACUGAAUUUAGACCUUCCUUCUAUUCCAAUGUACAAAUUAUAUAAUACAAAUUUCCCUCUAAGCACUGCCUUGUGGCUUCCCACAAAUUUUAAAUUGUAUUUUCAUUAAGUUUUAAAUAUUUUAAAUUUUUUCUGAGAUUUUUUCUUUGACUCCUAUGUCUAGAAGUCUAUUGCUUGAUGUCCAUGUAUUUUAAAAUUUUCUGUCUUUUUGUGGUUGAUUCCUAGUUUAAUUACAUUAUGGGCUGACAGGCAGACAUUGUAUUUGUAUUUUAAAAUUUGUUAAUGUGUGUUUUAUGUCCUAGAAUGUAGCUUAUCUUGGUGAAUGUUCCGCGUGAGCUUGAGAAAAUGUUAAUUUCCCUGUUUUGAAUGAAGAAGUUGAAAUAUGUCAAUUAUAUCCAGUUGAUUAAAUAUGUGACUGAGUUCAGCUAUGUCCUUACUGAUUUUCUAUCUGCUGGAUCAAUCCAUUUCUGAGAAAGGAGUAUGGAAGUCUCCAACAAGGAUAAUGAAUUCAUCUAUUUCUUUCUGCAGUUCUAUUAUUUUUGCCUCAUGUAGUUUGAUGCUCUGUUCUUAGAUGCAUACAUAUUACAAAUUAUUAUGUCUUCUUGGAAACUGAUCCUCCUUAUCCCUACUAGUUUUCUUCACUUUGAAGUCUGCUUAUGUAUAAGUAUACAGAAGCACUUACAUAUGCAUACAUAGACCUACACAUGAGCAUAUAUAACUGAAUAUAUUGUUGGUAUUAUUUUGAGCAAAAUAAUAUUAGAUUAAAAAAAUAAAAGUUCAUAUUUUACCUUCAUUUUUUCCUUCUCUGGUGCUCUUCCUUUCUUCACAUAGAUC